rnacentral:tRNA from 1 species
GGCCCCUUCGUCUAAUGGUUAGGACAUGAGAUUCUCAAUCUUAAAACAGGGGUUCGACUCCCCUAGGGGCUA